rnacentral:rRNA from 1 species
UACGUAGGUGGCAAGCGUUGUCCGGAAUUAUUGGGCGUAAAGAGCUCGUAGGCGGUCUGUCACGUCGGCUGUGAAAUCCCGAGGCUCAACCUCGGGUCUGCAGUCGAUACGGGCAAACUAGAGUAUUGCAGGGGAGACUGGAAUUCCUGGUGUAGCGGUGAAAUGCGCAGAUAUCAGGAGGAACACCGGUGGCGAAGGCGGGUCUCUGGGCAAUAACUGACGCUGAGGAGCGAAAGCGUGGGGAGCGAACAGG